GCACCUUCGUCCAGAGCCGACCCAGAAGCUCUAGGUGGGGCCCCUGUACUUUAGUAUGUCCUGUAGGCCCUCCUGCUGCUCCCAGAAGUCUGGGGGCCUCCGAUGGGACCCCACCCCCAGAGCUGUGGGGUGGAUUAUGUAACCUGUGAGCGCCGACAACAGUGUGUGAACUCGCUGAUCCAAAGCUUUCCCUCCGGUACUAUCACCGCCCGUCACAGAAGCCACUAGAAGGGCCCAAGUCUCCAGGGAGGCGGUGGAGGCGGGGCAAGUGCAGGAACCAGGACUCCAGAGCACUGCCUGGGGCAAGGCCGAAACGCGGCCCCUUCUUUGGCUGCUGAGACCGAGGUCCCCAGACAGCAGGGAACAGCUAGACCGGGGACUGACACCAGGACUCACCUCCUUGGGCCACACACUCGGCCGGUCACUGCCUUCCCUGAGUCCCUGGCAGCCGGCGGCUCCUCCCGCCCCGCCCCUCCCACGUGCCGGGGCACCGUGCCCGCCAGGAUGACCGUCGUCAGCUCCAGCAAAACCACAACGCCGGAGGACACUAAGCAAGCCCACACUGCUUGCCGGCACCUGCUGGCCGCAGGGCCCCGCACGGGGGGAAGAGAGGAAAGAACCUCCGCGGGCUCACGGCCUUCAGAGGCUCGGGAACUAGGGAAUAUGAACCCACCCAACUUCAGCGCGAUCCGCGCUCCAGACCCGAGAAGGAGAUCACGGGACACCCCACGGGUGCAUGCUCUGUCAACAACAACAAAAGUCUGUUAUGCUGGAGGGCAGGAAGUCCGGCAAAAGUUGGAAGUGUAUGUAGAACCAAAUAGUCAAAAACCUUGGAAAAUGUAUUCUAUAGGCCAUGGUUUCCCAAAGUAUGUGUUUCUCAGUAUAGUCUCUUUGCAGAAUUUUAUUGGACGUUAGGCGACUAAAUGGGUUCCACUGCGGGGAGCUCGGCCACGCCAUCUCGGACCCGAGCUGCACGCCCUACGACUCAUCAGUUCUAAUACUUUCCAUCCAGAGCCAGCAUCAGACCCAGACAAGAGCUCAGUGCUACAAGACUGCACCCCGCCCCCCCCCACUCACCCCUCCUUCCCAGGACAGUCACAAGC
rnacentral:lncRNA from 1 species